CGAGUAAAGCGGCGAAAGGGUGAGUAACACGUAAUCAACGUACCCCCCAGACCGGGAUAACCUCUAGAAAUGGUGGAUAAUACCGGAUGGACUUAUGACUAGGCAUCUAGUCAAUAGUAAACGGUGGCUUAGGCUGCUGCUGGGGGAGCGGGUUGCGGCCUAUCAGCUUGUUGGUGCGGUAAUGGCGCACCAAGGCAUUGACGGGUAGCGGGUCUGAGAGGAUGAUCCGUCACACUGGGACUGAGACACUGCCCAGACUCUUACGGGAGGCUGCAGUCGAGAAUCUUCCACAAUGGGCGAAAGCCUGAUGGAGCGACGCUGCGUGUAGGAUGAAGGCCCUAGGGUUGUAAACUACUGUCACGCCAUAGGAACCCGUAGUCGUUAAUAGCGGCUGCGCUGACCAAAGCGAAAGGAAGUGCCGGCUAACUCCGUGCCAGCAGCCGCGGUAAUACGGAGGGCGCAAGCGUUGUUCGGAAUCACUGGGCAUAAAGAGCAUGUAGGCGGUCUAUUAAGUCGGAUGUGAAAGCCCUCGGCCCAACCGGGGAAUUGCAUUCGAUACUGAUAGACUUGAGGACAGGAGGGGUGAGUGGAACUUCAGGUGGAACGGUGAAAUGUGUAGAUAUCUGAAGGAACACCGGUGGCGAAAGCGGCUCACUGGCCUGUCUCUGACGCUGAGAUGCGAAAGCUAGGGUAGCGAACGGGAUUAGAUACCCCGGUAGUCCUAGCCGUAAACGAUGGGUACUAGGUAGUGGGUUUUCCCUAUGGGGCUCAUUGCCGUAGCUAAUGUAUUAAGUACCCCGCCUGGGGAGUACGCUCGCAAGGGUAAAACUCAAAGGAAUUGACGGGGGAUCACACAAGCGGUGGAGCAUGUGGUUUAAUUCGAAGCAACGCGAAGAACCUUACCUGGCCUUGACAUACAUGGAUUAGCUCUGUGAAAGCAGAGUGACAGCUCUUCGGAGUUGGAACAUGAACAGGUGUUGCAUGGCUGUCGUCAGCUCGUGUCGUGAGAUGUUGGGUUAAGUCC
rnacentral:rRNA from 1 species